AAAACACAAUGAGAGCAUUUCCCAAGCAUUUCCUUAAAUCUCUCCCAACUUCCAUAAAUUGAUUCUCCUUCAUACUGGGCAAAACAUGUGAUAUCAUUCUUAAGUUU